AAACCAUUAGAAGGGGCACCAAAGGCAAAGGCAAAACCAAAGAGGUAAUAAGAAAGAGCACCGGCUGCAGCGUCAAGGACGUUAGUCAACAUGAUGUUCAUGGUGUUCUUAGCUCUGACAGAGCCAGCACAAAGCAUGGCAAAGCCGAGUUGCAUGGCGAAGACUAGGUAAGCGGAGAAGAGGAGGUAAGUGUUGUCAACGGCGUGAGUGGCGUCAGAGAGUUGGCUGGAGAUGGUGGAGAAACGGGCGCAAAGGAAGGAGGCGAGGGCGGUUGCAUUGGCGGAGGAGGAGAGGAGGGGGACGAGGUCAGAGGCCGUGCAAGUGAG
rnacentral:lncRNA from 1 species